rnacentral:tRNA from 1 species
UGGGUUGUAGACCAGUUGGUAGAGCACUUGCCUACCAUGUAUGAGGCACUGGGUUCAAUCCUCAGCACCACAU